rnacentral:rRNA from 1 species
GACGAACGCUGGCGGCGUGCUUAACACAUGCAAGUCGAACGGAAAGGCCCUGCUUUUGUGGGGUGCUCGAGUGGCGAACGGGUGAGUAACACGUGAGUAACCUGCCCUUGACUUUGGGAUAACUUCAGGAAACUGGGGCUAAUAUCGGAUAGGAGCUCCUGCUGCAUGGUGGGGGUUGGAAAGUUUCGGCGGUUGGGGAUGGACUCGCGGCUUAUCAGCUUGUUGGUGGGGUAGUGGCUUACCAAGGCUUUGACGGGUAGCCGGCCUGAGAGGGGAGCCGGCCACAUUGGGACUGAGAGACGGCCCAGACGCGUACGGGGGGCAGCGGUGGGGAAUAUGGCACAAUGGGCGGAAGCGUGAUGCAGCAACGCCGCGUGCGGGAUGACGGCCUUCGGGGUGUAAACCGCUUUCGCCUGUGACGAAGCGUGAGUGACGGUAAUGGGUAAAGAAGCACCGGCUAACUACGUG